AAACAUGACUCUGAUCGGCGUCCUCAUCUGGACUCUCCUCUGCUGCUGCUUCACAGAGUCCAGAGGCCAGAUCACAGUGACUCAGCCUGGAGCAGUGAGCUCUGCUCUGGGAGAGUCCGUCACCAUCAACUGUAAGACCAGUCCAGAGGUUUAUAAUGGGAACUAUUUACACUGGUACCAACAGAAAGAUGGAGAAACUCCUAAACUGCUCAUUUACUAUACUAACAGCCGAGCAUCAGGGAUUCCAGAUCGUUUUACAGGCAGUGGAUCAAACACUGACUUCACUCUGACCAUCAGUGGAGUCCAGACUGAAGAUGCAGCAGUUUACUACUGUCAGAGUGUUCAUUAUAUCAACAGUCAGUGGUUGUUCACACAGUGAAAAAGAGUCGUACAAAAACCUCCCUCAGUCAGACUGAACAGAAACUGAACUGACUGCUGCAGCUGGAAGCUACAACAGAGACUGAUACACUUCACUGAGGACACACACACACACACACACACACACACACACACACACAGGUCGAAGCCCCUCCCUGCGGAUCAUCAGUAUUUUACAGGAAGUGAUGGCCUGCUUAUCCAGGAGCACAGAAAAAGCUUCACUUCAUAAAUUCAUGAGGUUUUCAGCUCUACGUGUGAAUAGAAAACAGCAGAGGAGCAGAAAGUCUUUUGUUGACCGUCAUUAAGAAAUGUACGACUGAUGUGAACAGCCAGGCUGCUGCUCAUGUGAGGGUUGACAUAUUUCAGCACUUUUGCUCCAUGAACUCUGUCAUGCUGCCGUUGUUUGGUUCAGUGUCACAAAGCAAAGGCAGCAUCAUGACGGGUUUCCUUUAUGGCAGUUUUGAAGGAUCUCUGUGCAAAAGGGGCCUCUGAUAGGCUGCACUGACUGAACUAUGAGACAUGACGAGUGAUGCACGUAAACAUCGUUUUGAAAUAAAAUCAGGUUCUAUGAAUGUCAAAUCUUUAGCUUGUUUCAGAGAGACACCCUCUGUCUCCGUAGAUGUAACGGACCAACUGGAGUCUUUUAAACAGCAACACAUGACAGAGUUUUUAAAUGCUGUCAGCUCUUUCAUUAGUCUGUUGAUGAAUGGUUACUCUGAAAUUUUAAUAUUCUUGCAGGAAAAUCUCAGAUCAAAGAUAUUUUCUGUACGUUGAUGCAGAUGAUAUGCUGCUUUACAUAUACAAAUCUGCAAAUCCUCUUUCCAUUAUAUUUGGUUUGUGUAAAGAUUUGGGAUCAUAUCAAGGAACAGAUCAAGCACUUGUUAUGAAUACUCAUGAAAAUCAGCCCAACAACAGAGAGUUACAAGAUUUUCCAUUGAAAUGGUCAAAAUAUGGGUCAUUUUAACAAAGUUCCAUAAAGCAGAAAACAACUGACGACUAAUGGAGAUCUUAAUAGUAUUAAUAAAAAUUCAGAGAAACUAAAGUCAAAACAUUUUGUGUGUAACAUGUGUAACAUACAUGAGUUGUAUAUUAAUUGUUUUAUAUGGCAAAUCUAAGACAAAAUCAACAACAAAUAACUUCAUGAAAACUUCUGAUUUGAUGAAAUCUGUAUUAUUUUAAAAUCUUGAAACCAUCAACAUUAAAACAAGACAACAAGAGAGAAAGAGAAAGAGAGAGUGUUGCAGAUGCACAGCUGUGUAUCAUCCACUCUAUUAAUGGAAGCACUUCAAUUCUUCACUGAUCAAAUUGAUCGUUUCCUUUCAUCCCUGAUUAAUCUCAGCUCUUUUCCAACAUUAGCACUGUGUGGUCUGGUGUUGUGGUGUGUGAAAAAACUAAAACCAGCUUUUUGUGAAAUGAAAUUAGAUUUUGAGUUUUCGGUUUCGCUUACCCUCAUGUGCACCUUAAUCUUCUCGAUGAGUUUUAGUCUUGCGUGUUAUAGUCAUGAUCUGUUUUUGUGUUCUGUAUUGUAGUUAUUAACACUAGACAAUUCUGGUGCCGCCGAAAUUUGACAGUGGCACG